rnacentral:lncRNA from 1 species
AAAUUUAAUUCAGGUCAAUCAAAGAGCAAGGGAAAAAAAGAUGACAGAAAAUCAAUUAGCAUUAGUUAUCAGCUGAAAAAUCAAAAAAGGGAUUUUAGUAAGCAACAAGGAAGAUCUCAAGCAAAGAUACCUUCAGAUAUACCACUUCAGUAUGGCAUCGUAGAGGAUCUUGAUUCUGAAUUGAUAUUUGAUUUCAAGAAUGCAGAUGCAAGUGGACAUCACUGCAUACAAAUUAUGACAGAAUGCUUUCAUGAAAACAUAUUGCACGCUCCAGUUGUUGAACAUAAAAAUGAGGAAGGUCCCUAUUCAAUUUGGCAUGAGCCCUACACAGGCAAUCUUAAGUCAUAUCUGGAAUCAACUUCAUUAGGGACUAAUAUGAUGCAUGGGAGCAAAGUUAUGCUGCCAACACCUAUGCUACAAAGUAUUAUAAGCAAAAUUUUUGAUGGUAUGGAGCUGCUGAGGCUGUGUGGAAAGUACCAUGGGAAUUUUUCUCUGGAGAAUACAUAUUAUCUCAUAAAGGAACGUAAAAUUGUUGUAAAGCUUGCAAACUUUAAAAAGAAAGAGACGAAGAGCUCUACCCGAGUAUACCAGGCUGAGGACUUCCAAGCUAUUGGUGUCGCACUGCAGGAGAUCUCGAAAUUCGCUAAAGAACAUAAAUAUUAUCGUUUUGACUGCAGUCAAAUUGAUGAUCUUGCUGAAGAUCUCAGAGAGUUUGCUUUUGGACAGUUAGAUUCUAUCAAGGAAAAGAUCAGAAGGCAUCCUUUCUUCUGGGAUUAUGAUAAAAGGAAGUUCCUUCUCAUUUCUGAAGUUCCACUGGCCAUGAUCAGUGCAUCAUUCCGAUCGAAGAUUCAGGAAUGUAAAGAUUUGUGUAUUGUCCCUUGGGGUAAAGAUGACUAUGACGGGUUAAUUGAGUUGAUGGAUGGCUACCGAGUUGAUAAGAGCAUGCCUAAAUUUGAUAAGAAGAGCAGAGUUGAUUAUGUCCUACGUAUAAGUGGGAUGUACACCCAUGAGAAGGAAUUGAAGGCACAAGUUAAAGUCGAUAGGGUCAUCAUGGAAAGAAAUCCCGGGCUAUUCUUACUUCUGAAUUCUUUGUUGCCAAGCUCUUGAAGACUUCAAUGCAAGCGAUAAUCAAUUUUUUGAAGAUGACUGUUGAGUGACUUGGCCAGGUCUAGGCUGAAAGAGUGCAGAGAGACAGGUAAUUGACGACCUGCUUGAUUAUAUUUCUUAGGUUGUUUUGCAGGCAUGCAAUUAUCUAGGAUGAAAGAGUGCAGAGAGACGGGGAGGUGGUGAGGAGAAGGUGGACAGGGAGCUUUAGAUCAGUGUCUUGACAAUGCUGAGAACAUGUAGCUGUCCUGCCUCAUUUCUUAGGAAUGUUUUUCUCUGAGUACUUGCUCAGCAGGGGGAAACCCAGAACACAGCCAUCUAUUUGUGCUUUGAAGGGGAUGGGAUAAUUGGAUGCAACCCUGUGCAGAGAUUUGUGGGGAUGUUUGGUGACUAUUUUGCCUAGGCAACGGUAGUGUUUGAGUAUGGGGUAAAUAUGUUAGGUGGAUAAUUUGUUGGUUUGCUAUCUUGUGAAGUGGGGGUUUAGGAUUUUGAGAGUUCCUUUUUUUAUGAUGCUGAUGGUCUGAUACAACGUAAUCCUUUCUAUUUCAAACAGCUGGUAUCUGCCUGGGUUGUGUUUGGGUUCCACUGAUUAACCUUGGGAGGGAGGGGGAGCGAUCGGGAGAGAGGGUGGCUAAGUUUAUUGGGUCUGUUUGAAGCUCCAAUAUGAGAAAUAGGAAGCGCAAUAUUUUUCAGAAAUGAAAUAGAUGCACGAUUUUUCUUUUAUUUGCUAGUGAGGUUGGGUGCAAUUUUGCAGCCAAAAUAGCCAUAAACCUAGGACCGCUGACCAGCGUGCAGUGAGUGGUGCCUACUACAUAAGCACUUGCCUGGACAAGUAACUGGCAGCACUCAAUGCCUGCUGUCAGUUGUGUUUCAUAUUGUUCUAUGAAACAUUUGCAGACUUCUAUACUCAGUUUGCCUAUAAAAUCUAUAGUACGUUUCUCUGUGCAGUGUACAAACAAGAGUUUGCUAUUGGAAUGUUCUGUAUCUGACAUCAACAAACAACAAUAUUCUUUAAAUAUCCGUAGGCUUCAAACUUUUGCAGAAACAUGCUGUGCAUGCAGUUUAUGCAGUACAUAACCUUCACGGCAUUAUCUUGAAGAAACAUCUUGUUUUAUGUAUAUCUCAAAUAACUUCUCUCUUCAACACAGGUAAAUGUGCGGGUUGAUUUCAAAGAUCCUGAUAGGAUACCCUUUUGGGAAGAGAUGAAGCUUAUUACUGAUUCUCUAGAGUCGCUUCCUUUCAGAAGAGACGAAGCUUAGUAAUGGUUCUCUAAAGUCGCUUCCUUUCCUAGAGUACUUGUUAACGUGCUCUUUGCAUGCUAGAGUUAGCAGGAGACAAUUUAAGGUUUUGAAAACCUCGCGCAGUAAAGAUUUGUAUUGCUACUA